rnacentral:rRNA from 1 species
UACAGAGGGUGCAAGCGUUAAUCGGAAUUACUGGGCGUAAAGCGUGCGUAGACGGUAGCGUAAGUCGGGUGUGAAAGCCCCGGGCUCAACCUGGGAAUUGCAUUCGAGACUGCUCUGCUAGGGUGCGGAAGAGGGAAGCGGAAUUUCCGGUGUAGCGGUGAAAUGCGUAGAUAUCGGGAAGGAACACCAGUGGCGGAAAGCGGCUUCCUGGUCCAGCACCGACGUUCAGGCACGAAAGCGUGGGGAGCAAACAGG